GUUUACAGGUGCAGAAAUUACACCCCAGUUAUCACAAAACUUGGCUACCAGAGCAUUAUGAAUGUUAAUGACCUCAAACUCAGGUUGUCCAAAGCUGGGCAAGAACAUCUAUUGCAGUUCUGGAAUGAGCUGGAAGAAGCCCAACAGGUAGAACUUUUCACAGAGCUCCAGGCCAUGAACUUUGAGGAGCUGAACUUCUUUUUCCAAAAGGCCAUUGAAGGAUUUAACCAUUCUUCCCAGCCAGAGAAAGUGGACUCACGGAUGGAAGCUGUCCCUCGAGAGGUGUUGGGCAGUGCUACCAGGGAUCACGAUCAGCUGCAGGCCUGGGAAAGUGAAGGACUUUUCCAGAUUUCUCAGAACAAAGUAGCAGUUCUUCUUCUAGCUGGUGGGCAGGGGACAAGACUUGGUGUUGCAUAUCCCAAGGGGAUGUAUGAUGUUGGUUUGCCAUCCCAUAAGACACUUUUUCAGAUUCAAGCAGAGCGUAUCCUGAAGCUUCAACAGUUAGCUGAAAAAUAUCAUGGCAACAAAUGCAUCAUUCCGUGGUAUAUAAUGACCAGUGGCAGAACCAUGGAAUCUACAAAGGAAUUCUUCACAAAGCACAAGUACUUUGGUUUAAAAAAAGAGAAUGUAAUCUUUUUUCAGCAGGGAAUGCUGCCUGCUAUGAGUUUUGAUGGGAAAAUUAUUUUGGAAGAGAAGAACAAGGUUUCUAUGGCUCCAGAUGGGAAUGGUGGUCUUUAUCGGGCUCUUGCAGCCCAGAACAUUGUGGAGGAUAUGGAGCAAAGAGGCAUUUGGAGCAUUCAUGUCUAUUGUGUUGACAACAUAUUAGUAAAAGUGGCAGACCCACGGUUCAUUGGAUUUUGCAUUCAGAAAGGAGCAGACUGUGGAGCAAAGGUGGUAGAGAAAACGAACCCUACAGAACCAGUUGGAGUGGUUUGCCAAGUGGAUGGAGUAUACCAGGUGGUAGAAUAUAGUGAGAUUUCUCUGUCUACGGCUCAAAAACGAAGCUCAGAUGGACGACUGCUGUUCAAUGCGGGGAACAUUGCCAACCAUUUCUUCACUGUACCGUUUCUGAGAGAUGUUGUCAAUAUUUAUGAACCUCAGUUGCAGCACCAUGUGGCUCAAAAGAAGAUUCCAUAUGUGGAUUCCCAGGGGCAGUUAAUUAAGCCAGACAAACCAAAUGGAAUAAAGAUGGAAAAAUUUGUCUUUGACAUCUUCCAGUUUGCAAAGAAGUUUGUGGUGUAUGAAGUAUUACGGGAAGAUGAGUUUUCCCCACUGAAGAAUGCAGACAGUCAGAACGGGAAGGACAACCCCACUACUGCAAGGCAUGCUUUGAUGUCCCUCCAUCAUUGCUGGGUCCUCAAUGCCGGGGGCCACUUCAUAGAUGAAAAUGGCUCUCGCCUCCCAGCAAUUCCGCGGAUUUUAGAAUUAAAAAAAAAAAGAAGAUCCUUGGAGCUAUUCAAAUGUGAGAUAAACAGUGCUACAAAUGGAAAGUCAGAGACCAUCACAGCUGAUGUCAAUCACAAGACUCCAAGCUGCCCCAGAGGGUCUGGACCAGAUCUCUUGAGCUCUUUUGAUAGAAUCUGAUACAUAUCUACAUCUCUGGCUGGAGAGAUAUGUGCUCUAUCUUUUAGUUCAUCUUUUACCUGAAUUAGUCUGCCAUCCGUCUACCCUCAUAGUUCGUUUAUUCAUUCAGCCAGCAAGCGUUUGUAGGCCUGCACACAGACCUUCAGUACUGUUAGUAUCCCAGGUGCUGAAGUAGCUUACACAAGAGAAAUAAGUCAUUUCUUACAGCCUACUGGGAGAUUCAAGAUGCACAUACAUAAAAGUUAAGUAACAUCAUCAGGCAGUAUGUGUUAAAUGUGUGGUAUAAAUAAUAAUUACCCUAGGAGGCAGUGACUUAUCACAUGUCUAAUAAAUUUAUUUAUUUUUUUAUAAAUAACUGAAUGAGAGCAAUCACUAUGAAAUGCAUUGGUCAAAGGAAGGUUGGGGCUUGAGUUAUGUCUUGGAGGGUGGGUAUGAUUUGGAUAGUUAAAGGGACCAUAGCUGAGAAUGACUUGGAAUAAUCUAAAGUGCGUGUGUCUGGGCUGGUUUGAGUGGGAAGUAGCAGGACAAGUGAGUUGGAGUAGGGUAUAGAGUGCCUUGAAGGCUCACUAAAUGGUUCUGUUGACAGAAAGAUUGGGUGUGGCUAACCUCAGAAGCCCUCUGAUUUUAUUGACUCCACCAAAGUUAGUGAAGUUAGUGACUUUAAGCAUAUUAAAAGCACUGUUUAUUGACUUUGUGUUACGUAAUUUAGAAACUCAGGAUCGCAGGUGGCUGUAAAUGUUAGAACGUGAUCUAGAGGAAGCAAGUGGUGACUUUGGCCUUGCCUUCACUUGGGUGCAUUCUGCCUUAGCUCUUAAAAAAGGGACCUUGGUGAAAGUAGCCGAGAAGCACCUUGAAACAUUGAAUAAAUCAGCUCAGCUAAUCUAGGAGAUUUGGGCUGUACUGGGAAAUAAUUUAACUGACCCUUUAGUCCAAUGGAAUUUUCUGUAAUGAAGGAAAUGUUCUGUAUCUGUGCUAUCCAAUUUGGUAGUCAUUAGCCAUUUAUGGCUACAGAACACUUGAAGUGUGGUUAUUAUGACUGAGGGACUGAAUUUUAAAUUUUUAAUUAAUUUUUAAAAUUUUAAUUAGUCUAAGUUUAAAUAACCAUAUGUGGCUUGUGGCCGCUGCCUUGGACAGUGCAGCUUUAGAAUGUUGGUCAACAUUAGUAUGUAACGUGCAAGGCUGUGGCAGGGGUUAAAAUCAAAUACGAAGGAUUCAAAAUGCCUUGCAGUGAGCCUGGAACACAGUGUGUACUCAGUAACUAGUCCCUUGUCUAUGAACUUAAAAUUUGGAAAUGAUAAAAAAUGAUAUGUAUGUUAGGGGGUAAGUGUGUCAAUGUUGGCGAAGUACUUUGAAGAGCUACUGGUGAUUACCCCAGAUAGUGUCUUUUGGACCAUGAUGAUUUCAUGUUAACUUACUCCUCAGGGAAUUAAGUGAUCAUGAAGGUAGGACCUGCUCUAUUUGUUUAGGAGAAUUUUGUUAUCUGCAGGUUUCUCAGAGGGAAAUUAUGGUCUGUAUCUUCGCUCUGGCAAGUAACAUGGGAAGCAGAAUCUUUACUGUGUCUGAUUUUUUUUCUUAGCUUGAAGGAUGCCAAUGAUGUACCAAUACAAUGUGAAAUCUCUCCUCUUAUCUCCUAUGCUGGAGAAGGACUAGAAAGUUAUGUGGCAGAUAAAGAAUUCCACGCACCUUUAAUCAUUGAUGAGA